GCCGUGAUCGUAUAAUGGUUAGUACUCUGCGUUGUGGCCGCAGUAACCUUGGUUCGAAUCCGAGUUACGGCA